GUCAGCCAUUUUAUAUAAAACAAAUUUCUCUUAGUACAUAGAUACGUAUACGAAAUGGACAUAGAUUAGUUACAAAUUGCGUAUAUAGACUGAAACUACAUACGUAUAUUAAUUGCGUAUAAGGAUGAAAAAAAAAAAACUUUCUCUAGAGAAGUAUACGAAAUGUAAAUAAUUCCCCAAGUACAUAGAUACGUAUUUUAAUUGUUAAGCAGAUGUGUACAUUUGAAUUAUGAAAUAAACGUUGGCAAUUUACUUAGGGAAUUAUCAAAAUACAUUAAAUAUACUUGUAUAAUAAUGUACUUGUCAGUCUGGCAGGUUCUAUGCUGCCAGGUUCUAUGCUGCCAACAGUCACACACAUCACUUCAGAUACCAUGCUGUCUGCGUCUAACCACGGAGUCGCACAAAAUGCACAAAUCAUCCAUAACGUAAAUUACGUUAUGGAUGAUUUGUGCAUUUUGUAACUUGUCAUAAAUAGAGCAUUUCUCAGUACUGUGUUAUAAUUCAACAUUACUAAUGUUGAAUUAUAACACAGUAUUGAAAAAUGCUCUAUUUAUGACAAGUUACCUACUCAAAAUUAUCUACUCAAAUAUGCAUAUUAAUUUUUAUUGGUCGGUACUAUCACGGACUUAAAUCUAAUUCCGUGGUACUAUCAAAACUUCUCAAAAUGGACAUAAUCUCCAAUUAGCAAAAAACAACACGGACGUGUGCAGAAAUCAAGUAAAGAAAACAGCGUCACACGUCGACGAGUAUGCGUACAGCCAUACACUAAACUAAUUUAAAUGUGUUAACAUGGAAAAUAAUAUUGUUGUAUACCCCGCAAUUUUUAAAAUUACACCAUUUUUGUUUCAUUUCACUAUUCUUACUUAUUUCUAAAAUUAAAUUCAAUAUAUGUUAUAAUGUGUGUCGGCAUUAAGAAAAUAACGUAAUCCGUUUUUUUGCUUUACAAUGUACAUAAAACAACAGAAACACAUUUUUUUUUUAAAUAAAACUGAUUUUGAUGAUA